rnacentral:misc_RNA from 1 species
GAUGAAGAACGUAGCGAAAUGCGAUAAGUAAUGUGAAUUGCAGAAUUCAGUGAAUCAUCGAAUCUUUGAACGCACCUUGCACCCUUUGGCAUUCCGAAGGGUAUGCUCGUUUGAGUGUCAUUGUACUCUCACACUCCCGAUCUUUGGAUUGGGAGCGGUGGACUUGGGUUUGCUGCUUGUCGUGGCUCACCUCAAAUGGAUUAGUGCAACUCUUGGUUGACCAUAGUACGGCGUGAUAAGUGUCUUCGCCGGCACCUCACUGGGUGGGCCGAUCGGGAGCUCUGUGCUUCAAACCGUCUUCGGACAACAACUGACAACUUGACCUCAAAUCGAGUAGGACCACCCGCUGAACUUAAGCAUAUCAAUAAGCGGAGGA